rnacentral:rRNA from 1 species
CAGCGCCACGAGUGGGAACCAUGAUUAUUGGGCCUAAAGCGUCCGUAGCCGGUCAAGUAAAUCUUUUGUGAAAUUGUUGUGCUCAACAUAACAAAGUGCAGAAGACACUGCUAGACUAGGAACCGGGAGAAGUUAGGAGUAUAUUGGGGGGAGCGGUAAAAUGCUAUAAUCCCCGAUGGACUACCUGUGGCGAAGGCGCCUAACUAGAACGGAUUCGACGGUGAGGGACGAAAGCCAGGGGAGCGAACCGGAUUAGAUACCCGAGUAGUCC